rnacentral:rRNA from 1 species
UACGAAGGUGGCGAGCGUUGUUCGGAAUCACUGGGCAUAAAGCGCACGUAGGCGGCGGCGUAAGUUGGAUGUGAAAUCCCCCCGGCCCAACCGGGGAACUGCGUCCAGUACUGCGUUGCUUGAGGAUCCAAGGGGUGCAUGGAAUUCCCGGUGGAGCGGUGAAAUGCGUUGAUAUCGGGAGGAACUCCGGCGGCGAAAGCGGUGCACUGGUGGAUUACCUGACCGCUGAGG